rnacentral:lncRNA from 1 species
CUGAAAGCGCCCUAACUGACAGAGACAUGCGAUAGUUUUUCAGAAGAAGAUGGAACAGGGCAUUUCUACAGAGACAACAGGUAAAAAGUUCAGAGGAGAUUUGUGUGAUGCAUCAACCUACCACGUGGAACAGAGCUGUGGAGACUCAUCUGCCAAAUAAAUGACCUCAGCCCAAGCCCUUGUCUUAGAGUUUGACUUUAGAGGAACCUCAGCUAAGACACUUGUCAUCAAGAAAGGAGGAGGACAGAAGUCACAGUGUGAUUCUCAGGCCCGGGUUUGUUCCACAGAAGUAAAGCUCCCUCCUGUCAGCAGUUCCAGGCCACCAUCCAGACCAGAGCAACUGGUUGGCUCAGUCUUAGUGGAGCUGACCCAUAAUGCUCUCUGCCCCCAGGGAACUCAGAAAUGGCCCCCAGAAGAACAAGCCAAGGACUCAUUACACUGGGUGUGUCUUUUUAGUGUCAACAUCAGUACUUUCCUCAUUGCAGUGCUUCUGACAAGUGGAAUGAACUUAGAAGCUGAUGGCGGGGACCAAAGGAAAUUAUUCUUGGAAGAAACAGUCCAUCUUCAUGAAUGACCCUUCACCCACAAAAUGUUCUUCUUUUUGAGUUGCCUUUAAUUGCUUUUGUCCCUCCUCAUACUCUCACAGAAAUUCUGUGAGGUUCUGAGAUCGGCUGUCUUCUCUCCACUUUCUCAGGGAGUUCAUUUUCUCCCCAAGCUUCAAGUAUCCUUGAUUUUGUGAAUGAUGUCAAAAAAUAUAAUUCAUUAAUUUAUUUAACCAAUAUCUAUUGUACCUAACAUGUACCAGGAACCAUG